AUUGAACGCUGGCGGCAUGCCUUACACAUGCAAGUCGAACGGUAACAGGUCUUCGGAUGCUGGCGAGUGGCGAACGGGUGCGUAAUACAUCGGAACGUGCCUAGUAGUGGGGGAUAACUACUCGAAAGAGUGGCUAAUACCGCAUGAGAUCUAAGGAUGAAAGCAGGGGAACGCAAGACCUUGUGCUGCUAUCGCGGCCGAUGGCAGAUUAGGUAGGUGGUGGGAUAAAAGCUUACCAAGCCGACGAUCUGUAGCUGGUCUGAGAGGACGAUCAGCCACACUGGGACUGAGACACGGCCCAGACUUCUACGGGAGGCAGCAGUGGGGAAUUUUGGACAAUGGGCGAAAGCCUGAUCCAGCAAUGCCGCGUGCAGGAUGAAGGCCUUCGGGUUGUAAACUGCUUUUGUACGGAACGAAAAGCCCCGGGUUAAUACCCUGGGGUCAUGACGUUACCGUAAGAAUAAGCACCGGCUAACUACGUGCCAGCCGCCGCAGUAA
rnacentral:rRNA from 1 species